rnacentral:rRNA from 1 species
AGUGAACGCUGGCGGUAGGCCUAACACAUGCAAGUCGAACGGCAGCACAGUAAGAGCUUGCUCUUACGGGUGGCGAGUGGCGGACGGGUGAGGAAUACAUCGGAAUCUACUUUUUCGUGGGGGAUAACGUAGGGAAACUUACGCUAAUACCGCAUACGACCUACGGGUGAAAGCAGGGGAUCUUCGGACCUUGCGCGAUUGAAUGAGCCGAUGUCGGAUUAGCUAGUUGGCGGGGUAAAGGCCCACCAAGGCGACGAUCCGUAGCUGGUCUGAGAGGAUGAUCAGCCACACUGGAACUGAGACACGGUCCAGACUCCUACGGGAGGCAGCAGUGGGGAAUAUUGGACAAUGGGCGCAAGCCUGAUCCAGCCAUACCGCGUGGGCGAAGAAGGCCUUCGGGUUGUAAAGCCCUUUUGUUGGGAAAGAAAAGCAGCAGGUUAACACCCCGCUGUUCUGACGGUACCCAAAGAAUAAGCACCGGCUAACUUCGUG